GAUGAACGCUGGCGGCGUGCCUAAUACAUGCAAGUCGAGCGAACAGACGAGGAGCUUGCUCCUCUGACGUUAGCGGCGGACGGGUGAGUAACACGUGGAUAACCUACCUAUAAGACUGGGAUAACUUCGGGAAACCGGAGCUAAUACCGGAUAAUAUAUUGAACCGCAUGGUUCAAUAGUGAAAGACGGUUUUGCUGUCACUUAUAGAUGGAUCCGCGCCGCAUUAGCUAGUUGGUAAGGUAACGGCUUACCAAGGCGACGAUGCGUAGCCGACCUGAGAGGGUGAUCGGCCACACUGGAACUGAGACACGGUCCAGACUCCUACGGGAGGCAGCAGUAGGGAAUCUUCCGCAAUGGGCGAAAGCCUGACGGAGCAACGCCGCGUGAGUGAUGAAGGUCUUCUGAUCGUAAAACUCUGUUAUUAGGGAAGAACAAAUGUGUAAGUACCUAUGCACGUCUUGACGGUACCUAAUCAGAAAGCCACGGCUAACUACGUG
rnacentral:rRNA from 1 species